CAGCCAUCUGGCUGACUGCUC
rnacentral:misc_RNA from 1 species